rnacentral:tRNA from 1 species
GGAGAGAUAGCUCAGUGUAGAGUGUCUACCUAACAUGCACAAGAUCCUGGGUUCAAUCCCCAGGACCUCCA